AUGUAUAACAAUCCUCAGUCACUACACUGAUUGGUUCGAUGGAAGAAGCACGUUUGACGGAACCAAUCAGCAGCAAGAUGACUACAUCUACUCUUGAAUUGGGAGACGAGUUCUCUAAUUGUCUGUCGAAGCGAGCCAUCCAAUCUAAAUUUUCUGAACGGGAAUUUUAUAUCUUUCAGCAGCCGUUCAACUUGUGUGUGUAAAACCCCUCAUUUUCAACGAGGAUCGGCGAUUGAUUGGGGAAAAAGCAGAAGAUAUCACAAACUUAACAGAAAGAACCUAUGCGAAGAAUUGCUUUAGCUUGAACAUGGACAUGGAAAAGUACCUUGAUACGUUGUCACCAGGUUGCAAUCUGGUUUCAGCCGUCACUUAUGACACAUUCAACCCAAAUGUUGUUACGGGUUGAAUAAUGCUUGUUUAUCCUCCUCUCUGUAAUUGUCAGAUUCACACCAUAAGCUGGACUCCUAAUUACAAAAUGUGGUUCGAUUGGCUGGCGUACAAAAUUCCAACCGCUUGAAAAGGCAUCCUAUUGUAUUACGUAAAUACAAAGUAAUGAACUCUA